UACAGAGGUCCCGAGCGUUGUUCGGAUUCACUGGGCGUAAAGGGUGCGUAGGUGGUGAGGUAAGUCGGAUGUGAAAGCUCGGAGCUCAACUCCGAAAUGGCAUUGGAAACUACCUUGCUUGAGGAUUGGAAGGGGGACUGGAAUGCUUGGUGUAGCAGUGAAAUGCGUAGAUAUCAAGCGGAACACCAGUGGCGAAGGCGAGUCCCUGGACAACACCUGACACUGAGGCACGAAAGCUAGGGGAGCAAACAGG
rnacentral:rRNA from 1 species